AGACGUCUACAUUAGAUACCCCGGUAGUCCUAGCCGUAAACGAUACUCGCUAGGUGUCGGCCACGGUGCGACCGUUGUCGGUGCCGUAGGGAAGCCGUGAAGCGAGCCACCUGGGAAGUACGGCCGCAAGGCUGAAACUUAAAGGAAUUGGCGGGGGAGCACAACAACGGGUGGAGCUUGCGGUUUAAUUGGAUUCAACGCCGGAAAUCUUACCGGGACCGACAGCAACAUGAAGGCCAAGCUGAAGACUUUGCCGGAUUAGCUG
rnacentral:rRNA from 1 species